AACGAGGUAGCAAUACCUAGUAGCAGACGGGUGAGUAACAUGUGGGUACCUUCCCUUUGGUGAGGAAUAACACGAGGAAACUUGUGCUAAUACCUCAUAAGUCUUUACGGAGAAAGCUUUAUGCGCCGAUGGAUGGGCCCGCACUUGAUUAGUUAGUUGGUAGGGUAAUGGCCUACCAAGACUUUGAUCAAUAGCUGAUUUGAGAGGAUGAUCAGCCACAUUGGGACUGAGACACGGCCCAAACUCCUACGGGAGGCAGCAGUAGGGAAUCUUGCACAAUGGAGGAAACUCUGAUGCAGCGAUGCCGCGUGAGUGAAGAAGGCCUUUGGGUUGUAAAGCUCUUUCGUCGGGGAAGAAAAUGACUGUACCCGAAUAAGAAGGUCCGGCUAACUUCGUGCCAGCAGCCGCGGUAAUACGAAGGGACCUAGCGUAGUUCGGAAUUACUGGGCUUAAAGAGUUCGUAGGUGGUUAAAAAAGUUGGUGGUGAAAUCCCAGAGCUUAACUCUGGAACUGCCAUCAAAACUUUUUAGCUAGAGUUUGAUAGAGGAAAGCAGAAUUUCUAGUGUAGAGGUGAAAUUCGUAGAUAUUAGAAAGAGUACCGAUUGCGAAGGCAGCUUUCUGGAUCAAUACUGACACUGAGGAACGAAAGCAUGGGUAGCGAAGAGGAUUA
rnacentral:rRNA from 1 species